CAGCAGCCGCGGUAAAACGAAGGGUGCAAGCGUUACUCGGAAUUACUGGGCGUAAAGCGUGCGUAGGUGGUGGUUUAAGUCCGUUGUGAAAGCCCUGGGCUCAACCUGGGAAUUGCAGUGGAUACUGGGUCACUAGAGUGUGGUAGAGGAUAGUGGAAUUUCCGGUGUAGCAGUGAAAUGCGUAGAGAUCGGAAGGAACAUCUGUGGCGAAGGCGACUAUCUGGGCCAACACUGACACUGAGGCACGAAAGCGUGGGGAGCAAACAGGAUUAGAUACCCGGGUAGUCCCUGUCUCUUAUAA
rnacentral:rRNA from 1 species